rnacentral:rRNA from 1 species
AUUGAACGCUGGCGGCAGGCCUAACACAUGCAAGUCGAGCGGGAGGCGGACGGGUGAGCAAUUUCUGGGAAACUGCCUGAUGGAGGGGGCUAACUACUGGAAACGGUAGCUACUACCGCAUACCAUCAGAUGUGCCCAGAUGGGAUUAGCUAGUCGGUGGGGUAAUGGCGCACCUAGGCGUCGAUCCCUAGCUGGUCUGAGAGGAUGACCAGCAACACUGGAACUGAGACACGGUCCAGACUCCUACGUGAGGCAGCAGUGGGGAAUAUUGCACAAUGGGCGCAAGCCUGAUGCAGCCAUGCCGCGUGUGUGAAGAAGGCCUUCGGGUUGUAAAGCACUUUCAGCGGGGAGGCGUUACUCGAAGAGGAAGCAACGGCUAACUCCGUGCCAGCAGCCGCGGUAAUAC